rnacentral:rRNA from 1 species
GGGUUGUGAGGUUAAGCGACCAAGCGUACACGGUGGAUGCCCUGGCAGUCAGAGGCGAUGAAGGACGUGCUAAUCUGCGAAAAGCGCCGGUAAGGUGAUAUGAACCGUUAUAACCGGCGAUGUCCGAAUGGGGAAACCCAGUGUGACUCGUCACACUAUCAUUAACUGAAUCCAUAGGUUAAUGAGGCGAACCGGGGGAACUGAAACAUCUAAGUACCCCGAGGAAAAGAAAUCAACCGAGAUUCCCCCAGUAGCGGCGAGCGAACGGGGAGGAGCCCAGAGCCUGAAUCAGCAUGUGUGUUAGUGGAAGCGUCUGGAAAGGCGCGCGAUACAGGGUGAGAGCCCCGUACACAAAAGCGCACGUGCUGUGAGCUCGAUGAGUAGGGCGGGACACGUGGUAUCCUGUCUGAAUAUGGGGGGACCAUCCUCCAAGGCUAAAUACUCCUGACUGACCGAUAGUGAACCAGUACCGUGAGGGAAAGGCGAAAAGAACCCCGGCGAGGGGAGUGAAACAGAACCUGAAACCGUGUACGUACAAGCAGUGGGAGCCCCACCACUAAGCCAGUGGUGAACUCCACAUACGCAUCCUUUGCUGAGGAUACGGUUAACGGAGCGAAAGCGACGUUUAACCGCAAAAGAAGCAGAGGGGGCUUAGUGGUGGGGUGACUGCGUACCUUUUGUAUAAUGGGUCAGCGACUUAUAUUCUGUAGCAAGGUUAACCGCAUAGGGGAGCCGGAGGGAAACCGAGUCUUAAUUGGGCGUUAAGUUGCAGGGUAUAGACCCGAAACCCGGUGAUCUAGCCAUGGGCAGGUUGAAGGUUGGGUAACACUAACUGGAGGACCGAACCGACUAAUGUUGAAAAAUUAGCGGAUGACCUGUGGCUGGGGGUGAAAGGCCAAUCAAACCGGGAGAUAGCUGGUUCUCCCCGAAAGCUAUUUAGGUAGCGCCUCGUGAAUUCAUCUCCGGGGGUAGAGCACUGUUUCGGCCAGGGGGCCAUCCCGGCUUACCAAUCCGAUGCAAACUGCGAAUACCGGAGAAUGUUAUCACGGGAGACACACGGCGGGUGCUAACGUCCGUCGUGAAGAGGGAAACAACCCAGACCGCCAGCUAAGGUCCCAAAGUCAUGGUUAAGUGGGAAACGAUGUGGGAAGGCCCAGACAGCCAGGAUGUUGGCUUAGAAGCAGCCAUCAUUUAAAGAAAGCGUAAUAGCUCACUGGUCGAGUCGGCCUGCGCGGAAGAUGUAACGGGGCUAAACCAU